rnacentral:rRNA from 1 species
CGCAUCUGUGCAUGCAGCAUAUCAAUAAGCGGAGGAAAAGAAACUAACAAGGAUUCCCCUAGUAACGGCGAGUGAAGCGGGAAGAGCUCAAAUUUGAAAUCUUAAAGGGUUUCCCUUUACGAAUUGUAGUUUAAAGAAGUGUUUUCUGUUGAGGUUUUGGUAAAAGUUCUUUGGAAUAGGACAUCAUAGAGGGUGAGAAUCCCGUAUUUGACCUUUACUUUCAACUUUGUGAUACACUUUCAAAGAGUCGGAUUGUUUGGGAAUGCAGUCCAAAAUGGGUGGUAAAUUUCAUCUAAAGCUAAAUAUUGGCGAGAGACCGAUAGCGAACGAGUACCGUGAGGGAAGGAUGAAAAGAACUUUGAAAAGAGAGUUAAACAGUACGUGAAAUUGUCAAAAGGGAAGCGUUUGACACCAGUGUUGUUUUUCUGAAAAUCAAUUAAAGAACUGUUUAUGCUAAGUUGUUUAGACUUUAUCAGCUAACUGUUUAGUUUUGAGCUUUUCUUUAAUGCACUUUUCAGUUAACAAGUCAACAUCAAUUUCUUUUGCUGUAAAAAAGCUUGAGGAAGGUGGCUUGAGAUCCGUCUUAAGUGUUUAUAGCCUCUUGCCUAUGCAGUCGGAGAGAUUGAGGUCUGCAGCGUAGAUCCUUCGGGGCUAAAUGCAUUUGUGCUAAGUUAUAGCAUUUUAUAGACAACUUGUUGACUAUGAUUUGUCUUGUAGCUUACUCGCUUAUGUUAUUUUACCUACGCUUAGGAUGUUGACAGCAGUAUAGACUGU